AUGGGCAUAUUGUUGCUGCAACUCUUUUUCUAUCGGGUACUACACUACCACUACUACUACUACUACUCAUCUUAUUCUCUAUGGUAGAUAUGAUCAUAUGAAGAUUUUAUUUUGGUAAUUGGUUUGAAUGUGAUUAUGCAUGUUUACAUUGUUAUAAACAGUUUCAAUUUUUUUUUUUUGAUUUCUAUGUAUUAAGUUUAUUUUGAUUCAUGACAUCUGCAACUUUAUUUGAGUUUCACGCAAAAAUAUUCUAAUUGAUUAUUACAAACAUAGAAAACUGUUGGAUGGAUGGAUAAAAUGUACAACGCAAUUUUUUUGGUUUGAUAUAUAUACACAUAACCAACAACUUUUGAUUUGUCGCAAUUCCCUGUCUCUAAAGAUAACUGUCAUUAUUAAAAGGUAUCUCUCCAGCCUUGUUUCUAAAAUUCUCCUGACCGUAGCAUUAGUAAGGAUAUUUAGAGAAAGGGGUACUUUAGGAGCUUUGAAUGCACCCUCACACAUCACAAGUCUCGGCACCUUCUUGGUUGACUUGUCUGUACACUUGCUCGAUGCCAUUUUUCUUAGUAUCACAAGAUGAGAUAUGCGCAGAUUACUUACUUUUUUAGCUUCAGAUGUCUCUCAUAAAUAACACUUAGACUUGUGUUCUAUGAUUGUGACAUAGAAUUAGAAUCACAUAUCAAAUUGAAAUUACAUUUGCACAAAUUUGACAUGUUUAGGAAUGGAACAAAUAGAAAAUAAUGAGAUAAAUUGACUGGUUAUAUGGCAUUCGAUGCUUUUGCAUUUUAUAUUUUCCAGACUGGUGUUAUACGUGUAGUUCUAAAAGUAUAUUUCAGAUUGAGAUGAUGCAUCUAGAUAGUUUCUGUGUGGGUAUAGUGUUUGUGGAAUGCAUAUCUUGAGAUAUGACAGUUUGGACUUUGGAAUGCAUAUUUCGAUAUGAUAUAUGACAGUUAAGUGGAGGAUAUCGAAAGCCUUAAUUAGGAUGUUAAUGUCCAUCAAUGUAUGACCAAAAUCUCUUAUUGCAACACUAGAAAACAUGUGCACCUCAUUGGUACAUGGAUCAAUGGAUCCAUUAGAGUUUUAUCAUUUGUUGAAAAUACCAGACUUGUCUGUUCUUUCUUUUUUUCUUUUGUGUCGUGUCACUCCUCACCAUUUUGGAAUUCUUCAACCAUGUGUCACAUGCUUUAUCAUAUCAUUGUUAUAACAUGUUUGAAUAACAUAGAAAAUAUGUAAGCCUUCAGUACCAAUUCCUUUGUUAAAUAUGUCUCGACAGGUACAGUAAUCGAAAUUCUGAACCGAUACUUUUAAUAUGUCAAUCCUCCCCUUUGAGCUAUUAACAGAAUAAAAAAUGAGGAGCUAAAGAGAGAUCUGAAUCAUCCUCUGUUUAUUAAGCUAGAAUCUUACUGAUUUCCACCUUUUCCUGUCCUUUUAUUCCCUCAUUUAAAGCUCAUACAUACCAAUGUCUUUGGAGGUUAGAAAACUCAAUAGAGAAUUUAUUCAAAAUGCACAAAUAAUCAUUGUACUAAGCAGAUCAUUAUAUGAAGUCUGUUUCACUCUAAGCGCGACUUAAAUAUAUAUAUUUGUUAGGAAUCACAAAAAUAGGUCAUUGAAAUCUUUAUUUCUAAUUACAUUUGAGAGCCUGAUUGUUUUAAUCAGUUUCUGAAACACUUAGAUUAUAGAUGUUUUCAGUAUGAGCUUUCCUCCCAAAUAGUGUUAUCAUUGAGUCAAUCCAUUCCUCAAACCUACGUACGCCAUGAGCCUAUAGCCCACCAGCAUUAGAACCAUGGCAAGCAAAUCCCACCCCAUGUUGUUGAGACCCAGCUGAUGUAUAGCAGGGAAGUCCAAAACCUUGCAAUGGACUCCCAUCCCACACUCGUAGUAGUCUGUGUCAGUGUAUUGCACUCCAAUUAGAAGUUUGUAACAGUAGUGACUGAAGGAAAUGUACUUCAGCCAUGCUAUGAAUGGUGGGAUGUGUUGAAUGUAAUAUCCACCAGCUAGUAGGAAUACGAGCAUGGUAACUGAAGCUAAUGUUGUGGCCUGCUUAACAUCCCUUAUUACAGCUCCUAGAGCAAGGCCUAGUCCUUGAGAGACUAAGACAUUGAAUAGUAUAAUCAAGAGAGUCAGUAUGAAGAUUAGGGGUGAAGGCUUCAGACCACUCAUCCAGUAUGUGACAGCUACAAAAAUGGUUGGAAGAACAAGCUCCAUAGGCAAGUCACCCGCAAUCCGUGCGAAGUAGUAUGAGGAGAGACGGUACAUGCCUGACGAACGUUCUUUGAUAAGCAUAGGUCUUUCUUGAGGGAAUGUGAAUAUGGCAUUGAACAGAGGGAAAAAUCCCCAAAAUAUGGAUAAGAAGAAAAGUAACCCCACCUGUUGGAAGAUCAUUGAAGUUAAAAAGAAGAAUAAAACUUGUAUCACUUGAAUGUUUGAGGGAUCAGGAUGCCACAAGUAAGGAAGGAUUGAGGGUUUUAAAAGUGUCAUUUACCUGGUCUUGUAUAUGUGAGGGAUCUGAAUGCCACCACAGGAGGCCAGAAAGAAUGGAUACCGACAUGACUUGAAAAAUCCUUAACCCAGAGUAAGACUCGUGCUUCCUUUCUUUUAAACUGCGGUUCAAUAGAACUUUGAAUUGCUCCCACCAGCUCGAUGUCCAUUCCAUCUCAGAACCUGCACCAAUAUCUACAGAUUAGAACAAUUUAAGAAAACUUGUGAAUAUAUUGAAUGAGCUAAGAAAAGUGAUUGGUCUCUGAGAUUGCAACUGCUAAAUUAACAAUGCAGUAGUUUGAAGCUAGUAUUGUGAUAACUUUCGUAACCUAUACAUGCAUCAUUAGGUAAACUUACUUCUGCCUGAUGUCCUUCCUCGCUUGGGACAACUCGUAUUUCUAACAUUUUGCUGGAGUUCAGCCUUUAGGACAUUAUGUAGAUUCUUUUUGUAUGAGGAUAUUAGAGACUGUUUCAUGGAAUUUUGAUCAUCCUGUUCUGUUCUACCAUGAGGAUCAGUUUGGUGACCUUGCUUCAGAUUAGGUGCCACACCUGCAUCCAUUUACUUUGUUAGUAAAUGUGUAUAACCGAAAAUUUUCUACUGAUAUCUGGACAAAAAUAAAGCAGUGUGGUUGGUUGUUAUUUUAUUCACGCUCAUAAUACAUAGACUUUAUCCAUUCAUGCGCAGAGACCUUUCAGCCAGAAUAACUAUGUAAAGAGAAAAAUACAAAAAAUAUUUGGUUUUAGAUAUCUUUUUAGAAUGAUGAUUGUGAAACUUUUCUCAAACCGUUGACUAAAGUUCUAGUCCCCAACCAUCGCCCACAUCAAUUGAUGAUUGAAGCUUUGGCCUAGGCUAGGAUAACAGACAAAAACAUGUAACUGAACACUGCUUCUGGUUGACUCCCCAUAGGUUUAGGAUCACAAUAAAAAUAAAGGACAGUUUAAAGAGACUUACCAUUUGCAAGAUCUAGCAGAAAAUCAGCUAGAUUAGUGAGAUUCCCUGGCACGUAACCAAUUGUUCUGAAGUACUCUUCUACUCGCCCUGCACUACCGCUAUAUAUCGGGCAACCAUCUGAGAGAACUAUGACUUUAUCGAACAUCUGAUACAAACGACUAGAUGGCUGAUGUAUUGUUGUCACAACAGUUCUACCACCUCUGGCUAGUCCUUGCAAUGUUGCAACAAUUCGUUGUGCUGUCGUCGAAUCAAGCCCUGAUGUUGGCUCAUCUAACAGUAGCAGACAUGGGUUCACUAACAUUUCCUGUCCAAUACUAACCCGCUUUCGUUCACCACCCGAUACACCACGUAACAGGGGACCACCCACUAUACUGUUCCGACAUCUAGUCAAUCCAAGUUCCAUUAUAACUAACUCAACUUGCUCAAUUUUCUCUUCCUUAGUUAACUUUUUGGGUAAUCUUAGCAAAGCCGCAUAUGUUAGUGUCUCAAGGACAGUGAGGUGAGGGUAAAACAUGUCAUCUUGUGUUACAAAUCCGGUCUUUCGCUUUAUGUUGCCUGUGAAAGGCUGCCCAUUGUAGGUAAUGCUACCUGAUACCUUGCCUGGUAACCUACCUGCAAGGGCAGUUAACAGAGUUGUCUUGCCACUUCCUGAAGGACCAAGCAUUGCCAGAAGUUCACCCGGCCUAACCAUUCCACUUACACCAUUGAGGACAAUACGAUCAGGCUUAGGAUCAGGAGGUGAAAAGCAAUUUCCGUCUGUGCUGCACAGCCUUAUACUAUACAUCACAUCUUCGAACUACAAAAUAUCAAGAAAACUCCAUACUUUAGAUAAAAAGCUUUGGUACAAUGAUCAUAAUGUUUAUUGAUAUGGUUGUAAGAAUGGUAAGAAAAAACUUUAGGAAAGCUUGUGGAGAAGCCACAACACUAAAAGACAGAAGAAUCAUUUUGCAAGAUAGAAGCUUGUCUUCUAGCUGUACCACUUUAAAAUUUUUUUUUCCUGGAGUUGCUUCUUACCACUACUUGUUAUGGUUAACAUUCUAUCAUAUAGUCGUAUAUGUAUGUACCUUAAGUGUUACAGGGCGUAAUGAGUCACGUAGUACUGAAUUUCCGUGUGUAAUUCUCUUUUCAGGAAUCCGAUCACUUGAAAUUGAAGUCAAGUUGGUUGCAGAACUGAGUGGCUCUGCGUGAACCAACAUGUUCUCUGACCUGGAAACUACCGGAAGACUAGUAGAUCUGCCAGAAGCUCCAGCCUCUUCAUUAGGAGGUAUCAUCUCUUGCCAAUAUAGAUAGAGGGUAAGUAAGGAAGUGUAACAAAUGGAUUUUGAAGACAAAAAUAAUGGUUGAAAUCUCGACCUUUUAUAGAGUGAUAAAGUUGUAAAACAAACAGAUAAAGAUGAAGUAGCUAGGGGAAAUGAGAGGGAAAGAUUAGCAAGAAACUUAAGCUUAAAUAGGCUAGAGUAGCAAGGUUCACAUGUACAAACAACUCAUGUGACCACUAAAGUGAUGUAUGCACGAGAAACAAACUUAGUGUGACACAUAACACAGCAUUCAAAUUUCAGAAUCAAAAGAAACACAAGAUGGUAUGGGGAAGAUAGAUGUGUGACCACCCUAUGCUUGUUUUCCAAUCAUCUUUGGUCACAUAUAUAUAACACACUAUAUUAGCAUAAAGGAUAGUACAAGUAUUAAUAAUCUUAAGUAUGUCAUACUAUAAAGUGAAACUAUUCUCAUCACACAGUUGUUGUAUUUUGCAGUGAGACUCAUCCUUUACCCGAUCAUCAUAGUACUUAAUAUAUGUCAUCCUCAUGUCACAACCAUUGGAUAGCGUC
rnacentral:lncRNA from 1 species